rfam:Staphylococcus aureus subsp. aureus NCTC 8325, complete genome.
UUUAUGGAGAGUUUGAUCCUGGCUCAGGAUGAACGCUGGCGGCGUGCCUAAUACAUGCAAGUCGAGCGAACGGACGAGAAGCUUGCUUCUCUGAUGUUAGCGGCGGACGGGUGAGUAACACGUGGAUAACCUACCUAUAAGACUGGGAUAACUUCGGGAAACCGGAGCUAAUACCGGAUAAUAUUUUGAACCGCAUGGUUCAAAAGUGAAAGACGGUCUUGCUGUCACUUAUAGAUGGAUCCGCGCUGCAUUAGCUAGUUGGUAAGGUAACGGCUUACCAAGGCAACGAUGCAUAGCCGACCUGAGAGGGUGAUCGGCCACACUGGAACUGAGACACGGUCCAGACUCCUACGGGAGGCAGCAGUAGGGAAUCUUCCGCAAUGGGCGAAAGCCUGACGGAGCAACGCCGCGUGAGUGAUGAAGGUCUUCGGAUCGUAAAACUCUGUUAUUAGGGAAGAACAUAUGUGUAAGUAACUGUGCACAUCUUGACGGUACCUAAUCAGAAAGCCACGGCUAACUACGUGCCAGCAGCCGCGGUAAUACGUAGGUGGCAAGCGUUAUCCGGAAUUAUUGGGCGUAAAGCGCGCGUAGGCGGUUUUUUAAGUCUGAUGUGAAAGCCCACGGCUCAACCGUGGAGGGUCAUUGGAAACUGGAAAACUUGAGUGCAGAAGAGGAAAGUGGAAUUCCAUGUGUAGCGGUGAAAUGCGCAGAGAUAUGGAGGAACACCAGUGGCGAAGGCGACUUUCUGGUCUGUAACUGACGCUGAUGUGCGAAAGCGUGGGGAUCAAACAGGAUUAGAUACCCUGGUAGUCCACGCCGUAAACGAUGAGUGCUAAGUGUUAGGGGGUUUCCGCCCCUUAGUGCUGCAGCUAACGCAUUAAGCACUCCGCCUGGGGAGUACGACCGCAAGGUUGAAACUCAAAGGAAUUGACGGGGACCCGCACAAGCGGUGGAGCAUGUGGUUUAAUUCGAAGCAACGCGAAGAACCUUACCAAAUCUUGACAUCCUUUGACAACUCUAGAGAUAGAGCCUUCCCCUUCGGGGGACAAAGUGACAGGUGGUGCAUGGUUGUCGUCAGCUCGUGUCGUGAGAUGUUGGGUUAAGUCCCGCAACGAGCGCAACCCUUAAGCUUAGUUGCCAUCAUUAAGUUGGGCACUCUAAGUUGACUGCCGGUGACAAACCGGAGGAAGGUGGGGAUGACGUCAAAUCAUCAUGCCCCUUAUGAUUUGGGCUACACACGUGCUACAAUGGACAAUACAAAGGGCAGCGAAACCGCGAGGUCAAGCAAAUCCCAUAAAGUUGUUCUCAGUUCGGAUUGUAGUCUGCAACUCGACUACAUGAAGCUGGAAUCGCUAGUAAUCGUAGAUCAGCAUGCUACGGUGAAUACGUUCCCGGGUCUUGUACACACCGCCCGUCACACCACGAGAGUUUGUAACACCCGAAGCCGGUGGAGUAACCUUUUAGGAGCUAGCCGUCGAAGGUGGGACAAAUGAUUGGGGUGAAGUCGUAACAAGGUAGCCGUAUCGGAAGGUGCGGCUGGAUCACCUCCUUU